rnacentral:rRNA from 1 species
CCUACGGGAGGCAGCAGUGGGGAAUAUUGCACAAUGGGCGAAAGCCUGAUGCAGCAACGCCGCGUGAAGGAAGAAGGCCUUCGGGUCGUAAACUUCUGUCCUUGGGGAAGAAGAACUGACGGUACCCAAGGAGGAAGCCCCGGCUAACUACGUGCCAGCAGCCGCGGUAAUACGUAGGGGGCAAGCGUUAUCCGGAAUUAUUGGGCGUAAAGAGUACGUAGGUGGCAACCUAAGCGCAGGGUUUAAGGCAAUGGCUCAACCAUUGUUCGCCCUGCGAACUGGGAUGCUUGAGUGCAGGAGAGGAAAGCGGAAUUCCUAGUGUAGCGGUGAAAUGCGUAGAUAUUAGGAGGAACACCAGUGGCGAAGGCGGCUUUCUGGACUGUAACUGACACUGAGGUACGAAAGCGUGGGGAGCAAACAGGAUUAGAUAC